CGGAACGGGUGAGUAAUACAUAAGUAACCUGCCCUAGACAGGGGGAUAACUAUUGGAAACGAUAGCUAAGACCGCAUAGGUACGGACACUGCAUGGUGACCGUAUUAAAAGUGCCUCAAAGCACUGGUAGAGGAUGGACUUAUGGCGCAUUAGCUGGUUGGCGGGGUAACGGCCCACCAAGGCGACGAUCCAUAGCCGGCCUGAGAGGGUGAACGGUCACAUUGGGACUGAGACACGGCCCAGACUCCUACGGGAGGCAGCAUG
rnacentral:rRNA from 1 species